GACGAACGCUGGCGGCGUGCCUAAUACAUGCAAGUAGAACGCUGAAGAGAAGAGCUUGCUCUUCUUGGAUGAGUUGCGAACGGGUGAGUAACGCGUAGGUAACCUGCCUGGUAGCGGGGGAUAACUAUUGGAAACGAUAGCUAAUACCGCAUAAAAUUGAUUAUUGCAUGAUAAUUAAUUGAAAGAUGCAAUUGCAUCACUACCAGAUGGACCUGCGUUGUAUUAGCUAGUUGGUGAGGUAACGGCUCACCAAGGCGACGAUACAUAGCCGACCUGGGAGGGUGAUCGGCCACACUGGGACUGAGACACGGCCCAGACUCCUACGGGAGGCAGCAGUAGGGAAUCUUCGGCAAUGGGGGGAACCCUGACCGAGCAACGCCGCGUGAGUGAAGAAGGUUUUCGGAUCGUAGAGCUCUGUUGUAAGAGAAGAACGGGUGUGAGAGUGGAAAGUUCACACUGUGACGGUAUCUUACCAGAAAGGGACGGCUAACUACGUGCCAGCAGCCGCGGUAAUACGUAGGUCCCGAGCGUUGUCCGGAUUUAUUGGGCGUAAAGCGAGCGCAGGCGGUUAGAUAAGUCUGAAGUUAAAGGCUGUGGCUUAACCAUAGUAUGCUUUGGAAACUGUUUAACUUGAGUGCAGAAGGGGAGAGUGGAAUUCCAUGUGUAGCGGUGAAAUGCGUAGAUAUAUGGAGGAACACCGGUGGCGAAAGCGGCUCUCUGGUCUGUAACUGACGCUGAGGCUCGAAAGCGUGGGGAGCAAACAGGAUUGGAUACCCUGGUAGUCCACGCCGUAAACGAUGAGUGCUAGGUGUUAGGCCCUUUCCGGGGCUUAGUGCCGCAGCUAACGCAUUAAGCACUCCGCCUGGGGAGUACGACCGCAAGGUUGAAACUCAAAGGAAUUGACGGGGGCCCGCACAAGCGGUGGAGCAUGUGGUUUAAUUCGAAGCAACGCGAAGAACCUUACCAGGUCUUGACAUCCCUCUGACCGCUCUAGAGAUAGAGUUUUCCUUCGGGACAGAGGUGACAGGUGGUGCAUGGUUGUCGUCAGCUCGUGUCGUGAGAUGUUGGGUUAAGUCCCGCAACGAGCGCAACCCCUAUUGUUAGUUGCCAUCAUUCAGUUGGGCACUCUAGCGAGACUGCCGGUAAUAAACCGGAGGAAGGUGGGGAUGACGUCAAAUCAUCAUGCCCCUUAUGACCUGGGCUACACACGUGCUACAAUGGCUGGUACAACGAGUCGCAAGCCGGUGACGGCAAGCUAAUCUCUGAAAGCCAGUCUCAGUUCGGAUUGUAGGCUGCAACUCGCCUACAUGAAGUCGGAAUCGCUAGUAAUCGCGGAUCAGCACGCCGCGGUGAAUACGUUCCCGGGCCU
rnacentral:rRNA from 1 species